UACGGAGGGUGCUAGCGUUGCUCGGAAUCACUGGGCGUAAAGCGCGCGUAGGCGGCCUCUCAAGUCGGUGGUGAAAUCCUGGAGCUCAACUCCAGAACUGCCUUCGAUACUGGGAGUCUCGAGUCCUAGAGAGGUGAGUGGAACUGCGAGUGUAGAGGUGAAAUUCGUAGAUAUUCGCAAGAACACCAGUGGCGAAGGCGGCUCACUGGCUCGGUACUGACGCUGAGGUGCGAAAGCGUGGGGAGCAAACAGG
rnacentral:rRNA from 1 species